rnacentral:rRNA from 1 species
GAUGAACGCUGGCGGCGUGCCUAAUACAUGCAAGUCGAACGCUGGAAAUCUAGCUUGCUAGAUUGAAGGAGUGGCGAACGGGUGAGUAAUACAUAAGCAACCUACCCACGAAGACUGGGAUAAUCUCUGGAAACGGGGACUAAUACCGGAUAGGUAAUCGGAAGGCAUCUUCUGAUUAUUAAAGGUUAAAAACACUGGUGGAUGGGCUUAUGGCGCAUUAGUUAGUUGGUGAGGUAACGGCCCACCAAGACGAUGAUGCGUAGCCGGCCUGAGAGGGUGAACGGCCACAUUGGGGCUGAGACACGGCCCAGACUCCUACGGGAGGCAGCAGUAGGGAAUUUUCGGCAAUGGGGGAAACCCUGACCGAGCAACGCCGCGUGAGUGAUGACGGCCUUCGGGUUGUAAAGCUCUGUUGUAAGGGAAGAACGGUAGAUAGAGAAUAUCUAAAUGACGGUACCUUACCAGAAAGCCACGGCUAACUACGUG